rnacentral:rRNA from 3 species
AGAGUUUGAUCCUGGCUCAGGAUGAACGCUGGCGGCGUGCCUAAUACAUGCAAGUCGAGCGAACGGACGAGAAGCUUGCUUCUCUGAUGUUAGCGGCGGACGGGUGAGUAACACGUGGAUAACCUACCUAUAAGACUGGGAUAACUUCGGGAAACCGGAGCUAAUACCGGAUAAUAUUUUGAACCGCAUGGUUCAAAAGUGAAAGACGGUCUUGCUGUCACUUAUAGAUGGAUCCGCGCUGCAUUAGCUAGUUGGUAAGGUAACGGCUUACCAAGGCAACGAUGCAUAGCCGACCUGAGAGGGUGAUCGGCCACACUGGAACUGAGACACGGUCCAGACUCCUACGGGAGGCAGCAGUAGGGAAUCUUCCGCAAUGGGCGAAAGCCUGACGGAGCAACGCCGCGUGAGUGAUGAAGGUCUUCGGAUCGUAAAACUCUGUUAUUAGGGAAGAACAUAUGUGUAAGUAACUGUGCACAUCUUGACGGUACCUAAUCAGAAAGCCACGGCUAACUACGUGCCAGCAGCCGCGGUAAUACGUAGGUGGCAAGCGUUAUCCGGAAUUAUUGGGCGUAAAGCGCGCGUAGGCGGUUUUUUAAGUCUGAUGUGAAAGCCCACGGCUCAACCGUGGAGGGUCAUUGGAAACUGGAAAACUUGAGUGCAGAAGAGGAAAGUGGAAUUCCAUGUGUAGCGGUGAAAUGCGCAGAGAUAUGGAGGAACACCAGUGGCGAAGGCGACUUUCUGGUCUGUAACUGACGCUGAUGUGCGAAAGCGUGGGGAUCAAACAGGAUUAGAUACCCUGGUAGUCCACGCCGUAAACGAUGAGUGCUAAGUGUUAGGGGGUUUCCGCCCCUUAGUGCUGCAGCUAACGCAUUAAGCACUCCGCCUGGGG